GCCUCCACCUCCCCCGGGGGCGCCAGCGCGGGCCCUUCGGGAAUCGCUCCGGUCCGGGGCUGCACGCGCGCGUAUGUGCGCGCUGGAGUAGAGCCAGUAGUCGGUGCCGAUGGCGAUGGCCAUGAGCGAGAAGGCGGCGAAGGCUCCGGCGGUGGUCAGCAGCAUCUGCAGCCCGCGGUCGCAUCGCACCAUGGUGGGCGCCUCAUAGUCCGCCGCCCGCCGGCCCGGCCCGCCGCGCCCGCCCGCCCUCCUCCUUCCUCGCGCCGCUCCGGGGGCGCCCGGGCCGGGGGGGCCGAGGGCCGGGGGGCGGCGCCGCGCUGCGCGCUCCGACCCCGCGCCCCGGGCGUGCCUGCGCUCCGGCCCCGCAGCGGCUCAAACUCCGAGGUGCGGCGGCGAGUGCGGGCUGGCGGCGGCGGCCGGGGGCUCCUCCCUCUCGGCCCGCCCUCCCCGCUCUGCCCGCGCCUCCGCCCCGCGCCCUCCGCGCCUCCGCCCGCAGCCGCCGCGCUCCCGGCCCGCGCCCGGCUCCUUUCGGCGCCGCCCCUCGAGCCUCGGCCCCCGCCCGGGUUUGCGCUCCUCUCUCUUCCCCUCUCCCCCAGCCCGCUUUUCUCUCCGCUCCCCGCCUCUCCCCUCCCCGCGCUCGCGCGCACUCUCCUGCCCUCCCAGGGUUCAUUCACAUUAUUAGAGCGCAGGAAGCCGAGGCACGGGCUCCCCGGGAGGACCGGAGGGAAGCGCGUUUCCAGGCACCCGCUUACCCCACCCAGCACACCCAGGGGACUCUUUAAUAUGUGGGCUGUGCGUGUGUCCCUCCUUUCCCCGUGUGCAUAUCCGUUCCUUUACCUGGCGAAGAAUGUGUAGGCUUGAGGGUGGGCGUGGGAGUGUUCAGAGCCGAUUUCCAGAAGCCCCAGAGGUGGGUCACAGCUGGGAGGCACUACUGGCCAAGCCAGGCCAGGGCCACUUCCCCCUCCACCAGGUGGCCCCUGCCCCUGCCGGCUCCUCCGGAUCCGCAGGCAGGGGCCGGAGGCCUCGGACUUCGGGGUUGAGGGAGAAGGGAGUUGUCAGCCAGAGGUCAUUUGGAAAGAACGUAAGAUCCCUGUUUCACAGAGGUGCUGAGGCUCUCGUGGGAGAGGGGCCCCCGUCAUUAUUGCGUUUCUGAGGGUACAUCACUGGAGUCUGGGAACACCCCAGUUGCGUUAGUUGCGAACACCCCAGCCCGCAGCUGCUACCCUCUUUCUUCUAGCUCUCUUCAAUACCUUGACUUCUUUUUGCCUUUCUCUCUGCUCGAGCUUUAUUGGCUUUCCUGUCCUGCUCCCUUUCACCACCAGUCACUGCCUCAGCCCCCGUGGCUUCACUUAGUUGCCUUGACUUCAGGCAUGAUCCCAGCCUGGACACACUCCCUUCUCCUCGGAACCAGCCCAGAUUCUUCCUCCUUCAAAACCCAACUCCAAACUCACCCCUCCGGGACGCCCUGAGACCAGCACCUGGCGUCCAGCACCUUUACUUCAUACCUCCUGAAAGCUCGCACCGUUGGCAUUCGGAUGGGUGUCCUUUGGGAUGCUGCACUGGACCCCCAGGAAAGGGAAAGAGGCAUACAGACAGCUACUGUGCUUCUUGCAAGAUGCAGCUUGAAUCCUGCCUCCUUUGUGACACCUUCUGUGGCCCUACCACCUUGAGAAAAGUAAUGUUCCCAUGCUGAAAAUGCUGGCUGCUCUCCCAAGAGAUCGCGAACCUUUGCCAUGUCUGACAUACAAGAUGAUUUGGGUAAUUACCACAAUUCUUCACUUUACUUUGGCUGUGAAGACAAAGCUUGAAUGAGUUCAGAACCCUCUGACAAGCCCAGCUCCAGGGUGAAGCAGCUCUGGAGAAGAAUACAGUAUUAGGCUGCUCACGCUGCGUAACGUGCAUGUCAAAGCUGCCUCGGAGACUGCAUUUGUAAUCACAGGGAGAAGGGAGGGGGAGGCCCUCUGCCAGCUAGGGGAGCGUGGCUCCCAAAGCCUUUAUUAAAAGCUUUGCUUUCCCCCUUUGUCCUCUAGAAAUAAUGACCUCUGUGUGACAACUUUUUGUAAUAUCUCAUUUUCAUGCCCAAAGCAGAUGGUUCUGCUGAUUUCAGAGGCUUAGUGGUGGGGGUAGGGGCAUGUGAUUUGGGGAGCCUGGGAGAUAUCUUGGGUGAAGAGACAUAAAGAAUGAUUUUGAAUAUCUACAGCAGAGGGUCGGGGAUGAGUCUUCGAAGGUUCAGUGUGGAGGCUUAUUUGCAACCUAUCCAAAUGGCUCAAUACAAGGAGAAUGCCUCCAGAUCCUGGUACUGACAGCCUCUCUAACAUCAGAUUAUGCACACUGCAAGAAUGACAUUUUUCUUUUUCUUCAAUAUUUCAGUAGGUUCCUUUGAGGAAGAGUGCAGAUCAGAAAAUUCUACUUGGCUUUCUGUACUCAAGUUUAUUCCAUUUCAUUUGCUUAUCACUUAUAUUCCAUUCAAGGUGGUUGGAGCCAGAUAUGCACUCAGUGUUCAUUUUUAACUCCACUGCAACAAAGUGGUGGCACAUGCACCAUCCCCACACCAGCCCAGCCCCUUGGAAUGGAAGCAGUACUCAAUGAAUGCCUUCUGGGUGCAUGAUUCAUUUACUCAUGACAGCAACCAUGUGAAGUGGAUACCUUUACUCCCUCCCAUUUUGGAGAAGAUGAGCCUGUAGCUAAACAGACAGUAAGUGUCUGAACUGGGAUUUGAACCCAGCUCUGCUUGGAGCAUAGCCAGGCUCUGUCACCUCCUAAAAAUGCACCCACUGCUGGGAGGGUGCAGAGGUACAGGAUCUUCAAAGUCCCUCUGCCCACAUCUGCUUCCUCCCCGACUCCUCUUUCAUUUCAUUUUAUCCAGUUGAAAUCAGGUUCAAAUGACUGUCAAAGUCACAUGGGGGUGGAGAGGUUAUAAAGAGCUGUACCUUGCAAGCCAGAUGGGGUGGAGCAGGUUCUCCAUUUCUUGGGCAGGUAGGAGGUGAGCUGGGCUGAUGGCAGGUGCUGGAAGCUACCAGUCUUAGGAACCCACCCUCCUCUUCCCUCCCGGCUCCUACCCCCGCUGCCUGUUCUGGUGCUGGCCAGAGUGGAGGGCAGAGGGCCAGCUCCUGAUCCCAAGUCCUCUGGCUGCUACCCUAUCCUGGGCCUUUUCCAUUGACUGUCGUAGGAGGAAAACGCAGUGUCCUGCUGUCAGUGUUACAGUGAACAAAACGGUGAACUGUGAGUGAAGUCCGUGUGGGCUUGUUCAAGAACUGUGUUUUCAAACUUGAUCCCAUUAGGGGCUGUGCUCUGUCACCAUGCUGGGCAGUCUCCCCCACUAGAAUUUGUUCUGGAACCAGCCCCGUUGAUGAAUAUAUUGAUAUUUAUGGCCUGACUUGGCCAAAAGCUUCCGGCCCAGCACGCUUGACAGUUAGCUGGUUAUUCUGAGAACAUUCUUUUCAAAACACUCGACAGGACAAACAGGCCGAGAGGUUUCUUUGUCCACAGCCAACCUCUGAAACUGAGCCGACUCUCAAAGGGUUGAGAAGAAUACUCCAAGAAGGAAUCAGCAGCACAGGAGGCGGAAACGUUUGAAAAUUGAGAUGGGGAAGAUGGUCAAUGACAGCACCUUCUGCAACUAAUGUAUAUCACUUGUGCUUUUGCAAAAGUGGAGCUUUAAUUCCUAAAAUAUAACAGCCUUGCACAGGAGCUCUAAGAAGAAACAGUGUUUCAUGCAGAAUUUCCCUGCAAAGUGCCAGGCGGCCGAAUGAGAGGUCUGGCUCAGGGUAGGUCUGGCUACUUUCCACUGGUGAGCCACACCUUCCUUUUCAUCUCCUACCUUCUGCUGCUCUCCACCGCCUGCCUGCUGGGGAUUAGGGCUGCGGCCACUCUUGGCCCCCUCCCAGCUGUGCUUGCUGCUGGGUGGGAGGGCUUUAUACUGCUGAUGUCAUUCUGAAUCAGGGAUAUCCAUGGAAUAUCUGCACUCUGCCUGUGUUGGUUAUUCCUGCUCAUUUUGUUAUCAAAGAGCUGCUGGGUCUUUACUGCUUUUCUCUCCAAGGUCUUUUCUUAUGAACAGAAAAGGGAAGGUCAUUGGAUUCAGGUUGACCCAAGUUUCUAGUCCUGCUCUGCCAUUUGCUGCUGUGUGGCCUUGGACUAAUGGCUGAACCCUUCUGGGCCUUUGUAAAAUGUGGAACCAAGCACCUGCCUCUGGGGUUGGGCAGAUUAAGAAGCCCAGGUAAGGCACUGACACAACAAUGCUAAUAGCUGAUGUUACUGAGCCCUUCAUAAUCACCAGGCUUUAUUCUGAAUGCUCACCAAAUAUAACUCAUUUGGUUUUCCCAAAAACCCUUUGAGAUAGGUACUAUUACUGGUUUCAUUUUACCAAAGCGAUAAUGGAGGUUAUGAAAGGUAAAUAAUUCACCAAGGGAUGUGCAGAAGGAACCUGAUUAAGAACCUUAGCAGUCAAACUCCAGAACACAUGUUUUAUAGUUUUGAUUUAAAUAUGUACUUAGUAAAUGGUAGCUUUUAUUAUCUGGCUUAUUAAUACUCCAUAACAAUUACAUUUAUGUUACUCAGCAUCCUCAUCCACUAAUAAUCACUGACUUCCCCAGACUCAAAUUUCCUUUGUAAUAUAGACCAUCACCGGAUACCUUCUGCAGUCCACGAAGUGGGGCCCUCCCUGUGGGUUCAUCUUGUCCCCUGGGAACCUACAAAUGUGGAUCUUCUCAGCGACAAAGACAUUAUUCAAGUCACUGCCAUCCAUUGCCGAAACUCUUUGAAAUCUUCUCAUGGCCACAGCUGAGGCCCCCAGGGGUGGAGGAGGCAGAAUGGGGGCAAGUCACACAGUGCACCCCAGUGAUCAUGGGGCCCGGGGGCACUCACCCUCACAGAGCUGUUGCCGGACUGCAAGGUGAUGUGUGCGGCGUGUGGGCCCAGGCAAAGUGGUCCGACAUCAUCAAAUGCCAAGAGUAGAUGCACAUGAUAUGAAAUGAGUGCUAACUGUAUGGAUGAGUGACCACCCAGGACUUUGGGGUUCUCUUCAAGUGGUUUGCAGAAUCCCUGGGGUCUCCUUGGGCAUGUCCUUCCAGAACUACCUGCUUUUUGGCAUGGCCACUGUGCACCUCAGGGCCUUUCCCAACCUCACCCUGUUUCAAGGCAGCACUAGACAGAGUAAAUUCUCAAACACUCGCAUCUGGCUCCACACUGGGCUGGAUCUGGUAGCAGACCAUCUCCAGAUAAACAGGGGAUGGAGAAUAAAUUGACUUCCUGGGGGAGAUAUUUUAAAUGCUUUAGAUCUUUUAUGAUUCAAGGAGAAACAUUCUUUGACUGGUGUGGUAUCUGUAGAGUGUUGUCACCUGUGGCAUGGCACCUGCCAAGGACUGAAUUGCCCAGAGCAGAGGCAGUUCUGCAGGUAACAGUACUGUGCAUCCAAAAACCAAGUGUUCCUGCUCGCACUUCCCUGACCCACCUUGUUGGGCUCCUCUGCAUGCCCGGGUUCAAUAGUCUCUUGUCUCACAAGAUGGGUUCGUGAUGGAUUACCAGCAGCUGUAAUUUAUUGAACACCUGCUGGGCACUUUAUAACCAGGAAGAUUGUUGUUACCCCCAUUUUACAGAUGAUGAAACCAAGGCUUCAAGAGGGCAAGUAACUUAUUCAAGGUCAAAGUUAGUAAACAGAAGAGCUAGGAUUCUAGUCGAGGCCUGCCUUUCUCCAGGAAACAUAUUCUUUCCACAGUUCAAUAGUUUUCAACCCUGGAUACUCUUUACAGUG